GAAAUUGAAGGUGUGAUGAAGGGGGAGGGAGAGCAGAAGAAACAGAAGAACAGAAAGCUUAAGGUUGUGUGGGUAUGUGUGGUAUUAGUUUUGGUGAGUGUGUCAGGGGCGUUUUUAAUGGGUUGGUGGGCGGUUCGUUUCCAUAGAACACAGAAGCAACAGUGGAUGGUACCUUUUGGCCUUGUUUUGAUGAUUGCUCCCAUCUUCGUUUUGAUCUCUGUUUUCAUCUCCAGUUUCUGCACUUCCAUGGACAGAACUUCUUCUUUAGUUUCAUCUCUGGAUCAUGAUCGACCACCUGAAAUUAGAUGAUGAUCAAGAUUUACAUCUUCUUUUUCUUUUUGGGCAAAUGGGGACAUUGGGGGCUCCACCUCCACCGAUUUCUGGGAAGGCUUGUCUACUCCAAGGCCAGUUCUAGUAGAU
rnacentral:misc_RNA from 1 species